UGAAUCCUCCCCUUUUUUGGGAUUGGGGGGGGGCCUGACCCCGUUUUUGGGGGGUUUUGACCCCGUUUUUGGGGGGUUUCAGGCGCUGCUGCUGCAGGCCCACCAGCUGGAGCUGAGGAAGAGGAGGGAGGAGGAGAAGGUGGAGAAGAGGCUGAAGGUGCCCCCCGGGACCGAGCGCCCCUCGGCGGAGACGCUGCUGCGGGAGCAGAGCGAGGGGCUGCUGGAGGAGGAGGAGGAGGAGGAGGAGGAAGAGCCGGAAUCGCAGGAAAACGCCCCAAAAUGGGGGCCCCCCCCGGAGAGAAAAA